rnacentral:rRNA from 2 species
UCCGUAGGUGAACCUGCGGAAGGAUCAUUAUUGAAUAAACCUGAUGUGGCUGUUAGCUGGCUUUUCAAAGCAUGUGCUCGUCGGUCAUCUUUAAUCUCUCCACCUGUGCACAUUUUGUAGUCUUGGAUUACCUCUCGAGGAAACUCGGAUUUUAGGAUCGCCGUGCUGUAAAAGUCGGCUUUCCUUUCAUUUCCAAGACUAUGUUUUUAUAUACACCAAAGUAUGUUUAAAGAAUGUUAUCAAUAGGAACUUGUUUCCUAUAAAAUUGUACAACUUUCAGCAACGGAUCUCUUGGCUCUCGCAUCGAUGAAGAACGCAGCGAAAUGCGAUAAGUAAUGUGAAUUGCAGAAUUCAGUGAAUCAUCGAAUCUUUGAACGCACCUCGCGCUCCUUGGUAUUCCGAGGAGCAUGCCUGUUUGAGUGUCAUUAAAUUCUCAACCUUUCCAGCUUUUAUAAGCUUGGUUAGGCUUGGAUGUGGGAGCUGCAGGCUUCAUCAAUGAGGUCAGCUCUCCUUAAAUGCAUUAGCGGAACUUUUGUGGACCGUCUAUUGGUGUGAUAAUUAUCUACGCCGUGGAUGUGAAACAACUUUAUAAAGUUCAGCUUCGAACCGUCCAUUCAUUUGGACAAUUUUGACAAUUUGACCUCAAAUCAGGUAGGACUACCCGCUGAACUUAAGCAUAUCAAUAAGCGGAGGAAAAGAAACCAACCAAUCUC